GCUAAUACCGGAUAGCCUUGUAGGGUCGCAGCUACAAGGAAAGGUCCUUCGGGACCGCUAAGGGAGGAGUCCGCGGCCCAUCAGCUAGUUGGCGAGGUAAAGGCUCACCAAGGCGAAGACGGGUAGGGGGUGUGAGAGCACGGCCCCCCACAAUGGGACUGAGACACGGCCCAUACUCUUACGGGAGGCAGCAGCAGGGAAUAUUGCACAAUGGACGAAAGUCUGAUGCAGCGACGCCGCGUGAAUGGAGAAGGCCUUCGGGUUGUAAAAUUCUUUUCGGGGGGAAGAGGCAGGACGGUACCCUCGGAAUAGGCGUCGGCUAACUACGUGCCAGCAGCCGCGGUAAGACGUAGGACGCAAGCGUUAUCCGGAUUUACUGGGCGUAAAGCGUCUGUAGGCGGAAAGACAAGUUGGGCGUGAAAGCUCCGGGCUCAACCCGGAGAGUGCGUUCAAUACUGUCUAUCUAGAGGAGGUCAGAGGGGAGUGGAAUUUCAGGUGUAGCGGUAAAAUGCGCAGAUAUCUGAAGGAACACCAGUGGCGAAGGCGGCUCCCUGGGGCCCACCUGACGCUGAGAGACGAAAGCUAGGGGAGCGAACAGGAUUAGAGACCCUGGUAGUCCUAGCCAUAAACGAUGGAUGCUAGGUGUGGGACCGAGAAGGUUCUGUGCCGGAGCAAACGCGAUAAGCAUCCCGCCUGGGGAGUACGACCGCAAGGUUAAAACUCAAACGAAUUGACGGGGCCCCCACAAGCAGCGGAGCGUGUGGUUUAAUUCGAUAUUACACGAAGAACCUUACCUGGGAUUGACAUGCAGAUGGUAGUGAAGCGAAAGCGGAACGACCCUUCGGGGAGUCUGCACAGGUGCUGCAUGGCUGUCGUCAGCUCGUGCCGUGAGGUGUCGGGUUAAGUCCCGUAACGAGCGCAACCCUUGCCCGCCGUUAUACGUGUCAGCGGGGACUGCCGGCGGUAAGCCGGAGGAAGGUGGGGAUGACGUCAAGUCAGCAUGGCCUUUAUAUCCAGGGCUACACACACGCUACAAUGGUCGGUACAAAGGGCAGCGAAACCGCGAGGUGAAGCGAAUCUCAAAAAGCCGGUCGUAGUUCGAAUUGCAGGCUGCAACUCGCCUGCAUGAAGCUGGAGUUGCUAGUAACCGCGCGUCAGCUAUAGUGCGGUGAAUACGUUCCCGGGGCUUGUACACACCGCCCGUCAU
rnacentral:rRNA from 1 species